UGCUAGUCGCACGGGUUCAGACCCGUGGCAGAUAGCUCAGUAACACGUGGCCAAACUACCCUAUGGACCGGCAUAACUUCGGGAAACUGAAGCUAAUACCGGAUACCGCUCGUCACCUGGAAUGGUUCGAGCAGCAAAUACUACGGUGCCAUAGGAUGUGGCUGCGGCCGAUUAGGUAGACGGUGGGGUAACGGCCCACCGUGCCAAUAAUCGGUAUAGGUUGUGAGAGCAAGAGCCUAGAGACGGAAUCUGAGACAAGAUUCCGGGCCCUACGGGGCGCAGCAGGCGCGAAAACUUUACACUGCACGACAGUGCGAUAAGGGAACUCCAAGUGCGAGGGCAUAGAGCCCUCGCUUUUCUGUACUGUAGGGUGGUACAGGAAUAAGAGCUGGGCAAGACCGGUGCCAGCCGCCGCGGUAACACCGGCAGCUCGAGUGAUGACCGAUAUUAUUGGGCCUAAAGCGUCCGUAGCUGGCUGGACAAGUCUGUUGGGAAAUCUGCUCGCUCAACGAGCAGGCGUCCGGCAGAAACUGUUCGGCUUGGGACCGAGCGAUCCGAGGGGUACGUCUGGGGUAGGAGUGAAAUCCCGUAAUCCUGGACGGACCACCGAUGGCGAAAGCACCUCGGAAGAUCGGAUCCGACAGUGAGGGACGAAAGCUGGGGUCACGAACCGGAUUAGAUACCCGGGUAGUCCCAGCUGUAAACGAUGCCAGUUAGGUUUGGCGCGGGCUACGAGCUCGUGCUGUGCCGAAGUGAAGACGAUAAACUGGCCGCCUGGGAAGUACGUCCGCAAGGAUGAACUUAA
rnacentral:rRNA from 1 species